rnacentral:rRNA from 1 species
CACGAAGGGUGCAAACGUUGCUCGGAAUUAUUGGGCGUAAAGCGCACGUAGGCGGCUUGGCAAGUCGGAUGUGAAAUCCCUCGGCUCAACCAAGGAAGUGCAUCCGAAACUGCUGAGCUUGAGUACUAAAGAGGAUCGCGGAAUUCCCGGUGUAGAGGUGAAAUUCGUAGAUAUCGGGAGGAACACCAGUGGCGAAGGCGGCGAUCUGGGUAGAUACUGACGCUGAGGUGCGAAAGCGUGGGGAGCAAACAGG